CUGGCGGCGUGCUUAACACAUGCAAGUCGAACGCGAAAGGGACUUCGGUCCUGAGUAAAGUGGCGCACGGGUGAGUAACGCGUAGAUAACCUGUCUUUAUGUCUGGAAUAAUACGCCGAAAGGGGUACUAAUACCGGAUAUUUUUGCAUUGCAUAAGCAGUGUAAGCAAAGGUGGCCUCUGACAUAAGCUACUGCAUAAAGAGGGGUCUGCGUACCAUUAGCUAGUAGGUGGGGUAAAGGCCUACCUAGGCUACGAUGGUUAGCGGGUCUGAGAGGAUGAUCCGCCACACUGGCACUGGAACACGGGCCAGACUCCUACGGGAGGCAGCAGUGAGGAAUAUUGCGCAAUGGGGGCAACCCUGACGCAGCGACGCCGCGUGAAGUGAGGAAGGCCUUCGGGUCGUAAAGCUCUGUCAAAGGGAAAGAAGUGCAUGGUGGUUAAUACCUGCCAUGUUUGACGGUACCCUUAAAGGAAGCACCGGCUAACUCCGUGCCAGCCGCCGC
rnacentral:rRNA from 1 species